GGUGAUCUGAAUUUCUCGGUCAGCAGUGCUUACGGUAUGUUCUUCGCUGCAAAUAUGCGCUUUGCUUGCCAUAAACCAAUCUGGAAAUCAAAAGCUCCACCUAGAUGCAAAUUUUUCAUGUGGCUGGUCAUUCAUAAGAGAUGUUUGACUGCGGAUAACCUGCAAAGAAGGGGCUGGCCCUCAAAUGAUGUAUGCCCUCUGUGUCUCUUGGUGGCCGAAAAUUGUAAGCAUCUGUUCUUAUUGUGCCGAUUCACACAGCAGGUUUGGUCCAGGUUCAGAGACUGGACGCGGGCUCAGUUCUCAAUCCCUGAUGACCACUUUGACAGUUCUGAAUCUUGGUGGAUCAAUACUCGAAAGGAAAUUCCCAAGUCAGCUCGAAGAAAUUUUGACACCAUCACCAUUCUGAUUCACUGGAGAAUUUGGAAGGAAAGAAACGCGGGGAUUUUUGAGCAUGUGGCCAGCAAUGUGGACAGGGUGUUGGACCUGAUAAGA
rnacentral:rRNA from 1 species